GAUUAAUACCGGAUCGGUUUCCUGCUGCAUGGCAGAAGGACCGAAGAUUCAUCGUUCAGGGAUGGGCUCGCGCCCCAUUAGCUUGUUGGUAGGGUAACGGCCUACCAAGGCUUUGACGGGUAGCUGGUCUGAGAGGAUGGUCAGCCACACUGGGACUGAGACACUGCCCAGACUCCUACGGGAGGCUGCAGUCGAGAAUCAUCCGCAAUGGGCGAAAGCCCGACGGUGCGAUGCCGCGUGAGGGAUGACGGCCUUCGGGUUGUAAACCUCUGUCAGGAGGGACGAAGAAUGUGACGGUACCUCCAGAGGAAGCCACGGCAACUACGUGCCAGCAGCCGCGGUAAUACGUAGGUGGCGAGCGUUAUUCGGAUUUACUGGGCGUAAAGGGUCCGCAGGGGGUUUGCCAAGUCUGAUGUGAAAUCCCGAGGCUCAACUUCGGAACUGCAUUGGAUACUGGCGAACUAGAGUGCACGAGGGGUGAGCGGAAUUCCAGGUGUAGCGGUGGAAUGCGUAGAUAUCUGGAAGAACACCGAUGGCGAAGGCGGCUCACUGGCGUGCUACUGACCCUCAUGGACGAAAGCGUGGGUAGCGAACAGGAUUAGAUACCCUGGUAGUCCACGCCGUAAACGUUGUGCACUAGAUGUGGGCGGUUUUGAUCCCGUCCGUGUCUCAGCUAACGCGAUAA
rnacentral:rRNA from 1 species